CGCGAUUCGCCCUUCGGGGUGCCCAGGCGCGAAAACUUCACAAUGGGAGAAAUCCCGAUGAGGGAAUUCCAAGUGCUAGCACUAUGUGUUAGCUGUUCUUUUGUCUAAAAAACAGAAGAAGUAAGGGCCGGGUAAGACGGGUGCCAGCCGCCGCGGUAAUACCCGCGGCCCGAGUGGUGGUCGAUAUUAUUGAGCCUAAAACGCCCGUAGCCGGUCUUGUAAAUCCUUGGGUAAAUCGGCCAGCUUAACUGUCCGAAGUCCGGGGAGACUGCAAGACUUGGGAUCGGGAGAGGUCAGAGGUACUUCUGGGGUAGGGGUAAAAUCCCGUAAUCCUGGAAGGACCACCGGUGGCGAAGGCGUCUGACUAGAACGAAUUCGACGGUGAGGGACGAAGCCCCGGGGCGCAAACGGGAUUAGAUACCCCGGUAGUCCAGGGUGUAAACGCUGCGGGCUUGGUGUUGGGGGUCCUUUGUGGGCGCCCAGUGCCGGAGAGAAGUUGUUAAGCCUGCUGCUUGGGGAGUACGUCCGCAAGGAUGAAACUUAAAGGAAUUGGCGGGGGAGCAC
rnacentral:rRNA from 1 species